UACGUAGGGUGCGAGCGUUAAUCGGAAUUAUUGGGCGUAAAGCGCGCGCAGGCGGUUUUGUAAGACACAUGUGAAAUCCCCGGGCUUAACCCUGGAACUGCAUUUGUGACUGCAAGACUAGAGUGCGGGAGAGGGGGGUAGAAUUCCACGUGUAGCAGUGAAAUGCGUAGAUAUGUGGAGGAAUACCGAUGGCGAAGGCAGCCCCCUGGGUCGACACUGACGCUCAUGCGCGAAAGCGUGGGGAGCAAACAGG
rnacentral:rRNA from 1 species